rnacentral:rRNA from 1 species
GUGGCGGACGGGUGAGUAAUGCGUAGGAAUCUGCCCAGUAGUGGGGGAUAACCCGGGGAAACCCACGCUAAUACCGCAUACGCCCUACGGGGGAAAGGAGGGGAUCUUCGGACCUUUCGCUAUGAGAUGAGCCUGCGUUAGAUUAGCUAGUUGGUAGGGUAAAGGCCUACCAAGGCGACGAUCUAUAGCUGGUCUGAGAGGACGAUCAGCCACACUGGGACUGAGACACGGCCCAGACUCC